rnacentral:rRNA from 1 species
UACAGAGGUCUCAACCGUUGUUCGGAUUCAUUGGGCGUAAAGGGUGCGUAGGCGGUCGUGCAAGUCGGAUGUGAAAUCUCAGGGCUCAACCCUGAAACUGCAUUCGAUACUGCGCGGCUAGAGUGCUGGAGGGGGAGACUGGAAUUUACGGUGUAGCAGUGAAAUGCGUAGAUAUCGUAAGGAAGACCAGUGGCGAAGGCGAGUCUCUGGACAGCAACUGACGCUGAGGCACGAAGGCCAGGGGAGCAAAACGGGG